rnacentral:lncRNA from 1 species
CCUCCCUCCCUCUCUUCCUUCUUGUUUCAACACUGGGAUGGAACCCACAGCUUUGCCCAUGACCUGCACCCCGAGCCCACAAGUCAUUCCUUUCAAAUGUAUUUUCCAACUGAAAUACCAGGGAUGGAGAAAUAAUUUUUGCAUACUUAAGAACAAAGAAAAUAUCCACCCUUCCCCUCAAAACCACCAAGAAACAAAAAUCAUCCACACAUCCUGGAUAAACACCCUCCGUGUGUUUAAGUUGAGUAAGAAGGCAGCACUUGUGUAAUUCCCAGGCCCCGAGAAUGGCAAAGGUCUGUUCCUCCUCUGUGCCGACCCUUGGGUGUGGCUGGGACAGCCCAGGGGACAGGCAGACAGGCUGUCCACUGCUGAGGUCCUGGUGUGGCGACACAGGCAGGAGGUGGGACAUCUGCAGGGCGAGGCAGGACCUGGAAGGGAACACAGGGGCUGAGGAGAAGGGACCUGGUCCAGGCUGGACGGCUGAGGAGGCGGCCUCCUAUGUGACAGCAGAGCCAGAGGGAAGGGAGUGGGCCAGGGUCCCGGCAGAGAGAGCCCGAGCCUCGGGAGAACUGUGUACCCUGAGGAGACCCGAAGAGGGAGAUGGAGACUGAAGCACGGAGACAUGCUGGGGCUUCAGAGGCCUCCACACGCUGCCCAGUCCUUGCUCACUGCCCUUCAAUUCAGCCUUGGAUUGUUUUGCCAAGAAUUUUUAAAGGCGCUGCUGUAGGAGAGGGAGUCUCCUGUCAGUCAGAAGGUGUCGGCAAAAUACGUUCAAGGAGAAUGCCUGCAGCUGAGCAGAGAAUUUAACCUAAGCUUCCUGGCAACUCAAGGAAAAGAAGAACACAAGAAAGAAACUGAAUAAAGUAGAACAGAAUGGAAACAACUAGAAAACAAAUAGAGCACAGGCCAAGGUGGCAGGAGGGAGACCAAAUACAGACGACAAUGAGUAUAAAUGGGUUCUUCUCUAAGAAAAAGGAAAAAAUGGAAUCCAGUGAUCAGCUGCUUACAAGUCAGGCCCGUAACAUGGCGAUGGAGACAGCAUACAAACUAAUGCCUCUCAGGAUCUUUGGCUGGGGAGCAGGGUUGGAGUGACAUCCAGCAUGCAGGGGCUGCCUCCUAUGCCAGGCGAACCCUGGGACUGUCACACCUGUGCACUUCAUCUGACUGCCACAAACACAGCUGCCACCUUCAUCCUCUGGUUCUGAGUCACUCUGGUGAGGCAACCUGGGGAGAACUGCG